GAUGAACGCUAGCGACAGGCCUAACACAUGCAAGUCGAGGGGCAGCACAAUGGUAGCAAUACUAUGGUGGCGACCGGCGCACGGGUGAGUAACACGUAUGCAACCUACCUGUAAGCGGGGAAUAACCCGGAGAAAUUCGGACUAAUACCGCAUAACACUGAAUUACUGCAUGGUAAUUCAUUUAAACAUUUAUGGCUUACAGAUGGGCAUGCGUAUGAUUAGCUAGUAGGUGAGGUAACGGCUCACCUAGGCAACGAUCAUUAGGGGUUCUGAGAGGAAGGUCCCCCACACUGGUACUGAGACACGGACCAGACUCCUACGGGAGGCAGCAGUGAGGAAUAUUGGUCAAUGGGCGAGAGCCUGAACCAGCCAAGUCGCGUGAAGGAAGAAGGUUCUAUGGAUUGUAAACUUCUUUUGUAAGGGAAUAAAAAAGGCUACGAGUAGUCUAUUGUAUGUACUUUACGAAUAAGGAUCGGCUAACUCCGUG
rnacentral:rRNA from 1 species